rnacentral:misc_RNA from 1 species
AACAAUAAUAACACUUGAAAAUUUUGAGAUUUAACCCUAGUCCAGGAGAUUUCUACUGAUCAAGAGGACGGUAUCAAGAUUGGGAAGGUUGAUGCCCAUUAGCAGUACUCUGGGAUGGAGUUUCCAUUGUAGAGACUGAGUCGCUACUGUUAUCGUCAUUAAAAUUAGCAGGAUCUGCAUAAGACUGGUACCCAGGAAACCUACUUACUUUUACUUGCUCUCCAUUUAUACCCAUUUUAACAUCAAAGAUGUUUCCUCCAAAAAUAGUCUUGUCUGAAAAGUACUUGGACAUUAAGUAUCUCCUAGCCUCAACUUCAUACCUCUUGAACUUCUCAUCCUGUUCAGUCUCCAUAUGAUCAAGAGGAUCUUCAAUCACUUCCUCCUUCUUCACAGCUUCAAGAACAGUGAGGUUUGAGACCUCCUGAUGCGGUUGCGACGGAGGCGGAGGCCGGGGAGAUUGAGGAGCAGAGGAUAUAGGGGAGUUCGACACAGAAUUUGCCGCCG